GUGCUCGUUUCAUCAGUGCAUAUACUCAAAUUGGAACGAUACAGAGAAGAUUAGCAUGGCCCCUGCACAAGGAUGACAUGCAAAUUCGUGAAGUGUUCCAUAAUUUU